CCUACGGGAGACAGCAGUGGGGAAUAUUGCACAAUGGGGGAAACCCUGAUGCAGCGACGCCGCGUGAGUGAAGAAGUAUUUCGGUAUGUAAAGCUCUAUCAGCAGGGAAGAAAAUGACCGUACCCUACUAAGAAGCCCCGGCUAACUACGUGCCAGCCGCCGCGGUAAUUCGUAGGGGGCAAGCGGUAUCCGGAUUUACUGGGUGUAAAGGGAGCGUAGACGGCGGAACAAGUCAGAAGUGAAAACCCAGGGCUCAACCCUGGGAGUGCUUUUGAAACUGUUUGGCUGGAGUGCAGGAGAGGUAAGCGGAAUUCCUAGUGUAGCGGUGAAAUGCGUAGAUAUUAGGAGGAACACCAGUGGCGAAGGCGGCUUACUGGACUGUAACUGACGUUGAGGCUCGAAAGCGUGGGGAGCAAACAGGAUUAGAUACCCGAGUAGUC
rnacentral:rRNA from 1 species